UAGUCUGUCCUCUGUUGGCCCCACGCGU
rnacentral:piRNA from 1 species